GGCCUCAGCUGAGAUACUCCUUAGAAUGCGGUAUGUUUUCUAGUUUCAGCGGGAAUUGAACCGUUUGUUUGUCGUGAAAUUGUCUUGUCCGAAUUGCGAGUUCCAAUCAUUUUACCGAUGGUAUCAGCGCUCCUCAGUUGUAAAGAUCAUAUGUAGAUGUCAUACUGAUCCUACAAAAGGCGAUAAUUAAGGCUUAGACAGGACACCGGUAACAGGAGCCGUAUAGAAUUUUGGCAGCUGAUAUCAUGGGAUCAUUGCACCAGAGCUGUGCUGAUUCCUAUCCUGAAGAACCGACGAACUGCAGUGGGCCAAGAAUUUAACACAAAUGUUUCCUGACAGAUUCCAUCAGAUGGCCCCUACCAUGCUUGGAUUCGUAAUCGUAACAUUUCGGUGGGCCAAGCCAAAGCCAGUCGACCAGCUACUCAAUGAUGAAUUGAUGAUUAUGAGUCAGGGAGCACUAGAGCAUUGGCGUCUUUCUCGUCUCGAAGACACAAGAAAAAUCAAUAGAAUACACAUGACCAAUAAAUUCAACAGAAAAUGUUUCCUUCGGGGCAAUUGUCAUUACACAGUUUUGAUGCAAGAUAUCUAUCCACAUUCUUCUCGACGGAAUUUUCCCAGGUAAUGGAUUCAAAAAUCAAUAGAAUACACAUGCCUCUC